rnacentral:rRNA from 1 species
GACGAACGCUGGCGGCGUGCUUAACACAUGCAAGUCGAACGGAAAGGCCCUGCUUUUGUGGGGUGCUCGAUUGGCGAACGGGUGAGUAACACGUGAGUAACCUGCCCUUGACUUUGGGAUAACUUCAGGAAACUGGGGCUAAUACCGGAUAGGAGCUCCUGCUGCAUGGUGGGGGUUGGAAAGUUUCGGCGGUUGGGGAUGGACUCGCGGCUUAUCAGCUUGUUGGUGGGGUAGUGGCUUACCAAGGCUUUGACGGGUAGCCGGCCUGAGAGGGUGACCGGCCACAAUGGGACUGAGAGAGGGCCCAGAAGCCUACGGGAGGCAGCGGGGGGAAAUAUGGCACAAUGGGCGGAAGCCUGAGGCAGCAACGCCGCGUGCGGGAUGACGGCCUUCGGGGUGUAAACCGCUGUCGCCUGUGACGAAGCGGGAGUGACGGUAAUGGGUAAAGAAGCACCGGCUAACUACGUG